ACGGCACGGGACUGGGCAAUGUUUGUUCCAUUGUGCGUAGGGUCACCAUGAGUCAGGGGCUGACUUGAUGGCAGCUCACUCUGUGACAACAUGGGGCAGGUAAGAACUGCCAGUUGCAGCUGUUACUACAAGAACUUUGCCAAAUCCAACACGAUGUGCAGUUGUCAGUUGAGCCAAAUAUUUAGUGAGCCUCUACAGAGCGCCACAUGUGGGUGGGAGUCUGGCUGGAGGUGAGGCGGAGCACAAUGACUCAUCUGGGGAGAAUGUCCAAGGCCGUUCUCUGUCCGCCCAGAAACAAAUAGGCCCCUGUCCAUCCUAACCGGGCCUGGUGCAUAGCUAUCCUGGCCAGCCAGUGCUUACUGUACACCUACUGUGUGCCAUACGGCUUGGUGGAGUCUGAGCACUGCUCAGGAGUUCUCCUUGGCUGCAGUUUUGGCCCUCAUAUCUCCAAGGCUUGCAGAAAACCCAGCUGGAACUUUCGAAGAAGGAGAAAGAACUGAUACUUGGGGAGCGACUACUGUGUGCCCGGCCUCGUGGGAGAUGCAUACAUAGGCUGUUCCGCUGAACCCUCACGCCAUCCCCAGGCAUCAGCAUGGUCCCAUCUGAUAGAUGAGAAGAUGGAGGCCCAGAGACGGCAGUAAACAGGUCCAAGGUCGCAGGCCAGCCGGAGAGAAAUCAGCUCAUGCCUGUUGACUUGCGAAGUCCUGGCACUUCAUGUUUCCACCUUGUUUCAGGCAUCCUACAACGACUGUAUAAGAUGAGGAAACUUAGACAGAGUUGAGAAAUUGAUGACUGAGGUCACACAACUAAUAAAACGGAUCUGAGAUUGAUGAAGACCCCUUGGAACUGGAAAUCUUUCCCAUACAAGACUCAAGCCAGGCUUCUGGUUAAAAGGCCAGAACAAAUGACACCGAAAAAUAUUAAAUGAUGUAACUGAAGAAAGCUCUACUGAAAUAAGUAAAGGGCUAAUCAGAGGCACAUCAUGUCCUAGAAAAAUGCAGUGGAGAGAGAGCGACAUCAAUGCAUAGCCUUCUAGAAAGACUGAAUUUCAAAGGGGCCUGGAGUGUUGGAUGUACCAUUCCUCUUUGGAAAUCGCCCUUGGCCAAAUGAAGCUGCCUUGCCUGAGGUUACACACCCUCUCUAGGACCACCUGCAUCCAAUGUCUGGUUGAUGCUGGAAUACAAAGGUUCAGCCCCUUUGUCUGGACUGGAGACAUCCCUGAAGCUCCAUCCUAGCUUCAGAACUUGCCGUGGAAUCAGCUGUAGCUCCCCUUGUAACUGAAUCCCAGUUCACAUUUCCCCACUGCACAAGCUUGCUUUCCUCAACUCACUCUCUACCCCAACAUGUUCUUGAAAGCACAGCUCCCCAAACCUUCUACGUGCAACUCCAAGCCUCACAGGCUAUUUCCAGAGAACUGGACUGCUGCAGACUUUUAGGUCUGGGACUCUUGUUUCAUUUCUCUCUCUCUUCAAGUACAAGGUCCCUGCUCCGUGACCGGGGCCCUGCUCACUGCCCUUAGACUCCCCAAGGCUGCUGCUGGGAUGCUGUGUCUGCCUCCUGCCACCCCCUUCCCUUGCCUUGUUCCCUCAACCAACCUCUGCUGCUUCACGAGGGGUCCUGGGCUCCAGUCUCUCCUUCCAGGCCCGGCUAGCUAUGGAAUACGUCCUGGUCUUUCAGGGAGAGCAAGAGAGAAGACAUUGACCUGCUGGUGGAGAGCACACGGGGAAGAGGCUGACGUCCGAAUGUAUGAAGCCUGCCUCCUCUGUUGUUUGGGAUCACCUAGGAAACACUGCUUUGAGGAUGUCAAGACAGAGACAGGGCAGGCACCAGAGCCACUUCCCGUUCUAAUGACAUGUGAACAGAUGGGCGGGUCACCCCGGAGGACUUCUCUCUGGGUUACUUCGCUUCUCCCAUAGGCACCCAGAGUCCACUCUGAGUAGCAGAGUUAGGGGCUGCGAAUGCCAGGCCAUAGUUAAAUAUGUUUUUUCUAACGUUUGGGUUUGGCAAAGCCCUAAGUGUGGUUUUUUUUUUCCUAUUUCCAAGCCUCCUAUGUUUCAAGAGAACUUUAAUUCUCAUAUUUGUACUCAUUUGCAUGGAACUCAUCAAAGUGCUAUUUUUUGAGAUAGGUUUGAUGUCCGAGCAGUCAUUAUAUGCUAUUUUUUUCCUUUUUUCUCUUUGAUCUGAUGAUUUAUGCCUUGCUGAUGCUGAAAGGGUUGCAAGUGCUUUCCUGAAGAAGUUCAGAGUCUUUACCAAAUGCAAACUGCCCAACGUCCUGGUGAGAUUUCAGACUUGGCACAGCAGAUUGUCUCUGAGGCCUAAUAAUUUCCAUGCUUGCGAGAUAGAAGAGCAUUUGGAAGAAAAUAACUUUUUUUUUUUUUUUGGUAGCCUUAAGAAUCUGCAUCAUGAAAAGAGAGCAAAGGCAACACAUUAUCUCCCCAGCUUGUGGCUUUGCCGCAAAGGCCUCUGGGAAGCUCCGUUAUACGUGCCUUGUUGCUCUCGCUGACCACAUCCUGCAGCUCAGCGGGCCGAGCGAGACCCAAGGCAGCUGGUGGCAGGCACAGUGGCAAGUUUGCUUCUCUCUGGAACACACCAGUCUGCCUUAGCCCCCAGCAGAGGACCGGUGAGGGGCAGCCGUGGCCGUUCCCAGGCUGACCUGAAGGGGGAGGAAUUUGCAGAGUGCUUUCUCCAUGUGGGGGCACUCACAUCUCCUCUCUCAUUUGAGCCUCCCAGAAGUGUUGUGACAGGGACAUUGUUGUCCCAUUUUACAGAUGGAGAAGCCAAGAGAUUGCAAAAGCCUCGCUGAUGACUCUACAGCUCCCUUACUUUCUCCUUCAUGUGUCCAGGGGGACAGUGGUGGCUCAGAGGUAGGAUUCUCUCCUUCCAUGUGGGAGACUCAGGUUGGAUUCCUGGACAAUGUGCCUCAUGUACAGCCACCACCCAUCCGUCAGAGGGGACUUGAGUGUUGCUACGAUGCUGAAUAGCUGUCAGUAGAGCUUCCAGACUAAGACAGACUAGGAAGAAAGGCUUGGCAAUCUACUUCUGAAAAUCAGCUAAUGAAAACCCUAUGGAAUAAAACAGUCCCAUCCGUACCUGAUCUUGGGGAUGGCGCAGGAUUGGGCACUGUUUCCUUCUGUUGUGCUUGAGGUGGCUGUGACUCAGGGGCUGACCUGACAGCAGCUAACAACGACAAUAACAACAAACCCAAAGUCCAAAUAACCCAACAAUUGCUGCCUAGCACCUCAGAAUGUUGAGAAUGUACUGAAGGGAAAUGGAUUGCCUGUGAAGCGGGUCCCAGGCCUGGGACCCGUCCUCACGUGGUUUCCUGACCGCUGUGCCGCAAACAUGUGAUGCUUUGUCCAGGGCAAAAUGCCUUGAACGUGGGCCCAGCUCUUGGCCGGGCAGAGUGGACCUGGGCGUGCCACUGAGAGCCUGAAUCUCUGCCAGUGAGUUUGGGUUGCUGGGAGGGCUGGUGAGAAGAAGGCUGGGGUGUGUUCAGCAUGGUGCCGGCUACGAAAGACAGGGGGCCGAACGUUGUUAUCUUGGGGCCUGGGAGUGCAACUUUCUUUCCUUCUUCCCUGCCAUGGUGGGCUUCGCGUAAGCUAGGGGCUUUCACUCCAACCAUGUGGAGAGGUGGAAAUUGGUAGAUGGGGGCAUUUCACAUGGCCUUGGAGCCCUGGUGGUGCAGUGGUUAGGAAUGUGGCUGCUAACCAAAAGGUUGACAGUUUGAAUCCACCAGCCACUCCUGGGAAACACUAUGGGGCAGUUCUACUCUAUGAAUCAGCAUCGCCUGGACAGUUACGGGUUUGAUUCCCCUGGGAGGGGAACCGUGGCCCCUCUGCACGAGUGCUCGUGAGAAGAGGAGCUGGGCAGGGCUGAGAUAAGUCACUUCUACAGCCUUGUCACCGUGUGUGUGUGUGUGUGUGUGCACCCACAGAAGAAAGCUGGAGUUAAAACAUGAAUAGAAACUUCUGUUGGGUUGGCAAGACCUAGUGGCUGCUUCUCAACAUGGACCUUGAUUAUUUCUUCUUUCAUCUCUUCCUUCCUCCCUUCCCUCUUUUCUUGCCUUUAGCAACUAGCUCCUGUGCAAUCCACACAUUUCCCAUGUGACACACCUGCCUUAUAUUCAGCCCUGCUGGAAAACAUCACCUGGUUAGCGAGGGAUGCAGCUCACUUGGCUGAGAACCCGAGAGGCUGUCUAGGCCAGCCCCUCAGGUUAGCAACGAGGAAACUGAGGCACACAUAGGGAAGGGGAUUGCCAAGCACCUCAUAGUUUAUUAGCUGCAGAGGUGGGAUCUGGACCCAGAAUUCCUUUCAUAGCACUUUUGGGAAAUUUGGAAAAAAGCACAAAGAAAAAGAUUGUAGUGAACUUUUAUUCCCAACACCCAGAAUUAGCCAUUUACCUUUUAUUAUUAUUAUUAAUAUUAUUUUUUUCUUGAACCAUUUCUGCAUGCAAUAUGUGAGUGCACUACUCACCAGAGAAAUGACUAGAACCCUACAGGGAAACCUAGAGUUGCCUCCUGUGACCACCAUUCCAUCCUGAUCCAUGAUGCUUUCCCCAGAAGUGACCAUUAUGAUGAGUUUGAUGUACUUCUUUCCAGGUGACUUGUACAUUGGCACACACACACAUACACACACACAGGGUAUUACUAUUUUGUGUUUAAACACCUAUUGACAUAAAUGGUAUCCCAUUACUCAAGGUCAUUUGCAAUUGGUUUUAUUUUUUCCUGAUGGUUAGUUUUGGAGAUCUGUCCACGUUGGUGGACACAGAGCCUGUUUGUCCUCCUGUGGCUGAGUGGAUUCCAUGCAUUAACCCACCGCUUUUUAGUUAUCCGCACACCCAGGAGCUUACCUUCAAGUGGCCACGGCUUGCCUUUCAAUGAGCAUCUGAAUAACAAACCAGGAAACCAGAAAGGCCUCUGUGGCCUGUUUCUGCCCAUACCCUGAAAUUAUGGAGGGCCCCUGGGUGAACCACUUCAUGCAUCCAUGCCUCAGUUUCCUUGUCUGUUGAAGACAACUUGCCAAAGAACCCUGUGGAUAACUACAAAGUCCCACCACAGCGCCGGAUGCUACCACCUCUAAGGGCAUAAGGACAAAAGCUGUUGCUCCUAUCAUGGGGUAUGUCUGGAAUAGCCCUCACCCCCAAUGCUUGAAUUGCUCUUUUUGUGUGAGUGACUUUUGUCAUGGGAAUGCUGGGCUCUCAGUCAUAUCUCACGAUAUGGGGGACCAGCAAUAGGGGAGUGGAGAAGAGGCCUCCUCCCGAGAGGUGGGGCCAUUUCUAGUGUCUGUCACCCUGGAAACAACCUUGGGUGGUGGUCAUGAAGAGGCUGAGGUAUUUCUAUGGCAGCCCCCAAAUGGCUGGUCCUUCCACAAGGGAACAGUCUCAAGUAGGGAGGUGAUAUUUCUAAGAUCCGAAAGCUCUAGAAAGCCCUGAGGCCAAACCCAAGGCUUGGCCUGCUGCCCUGGGCUCUUCCCCUUCUGCCCAUUAGGUAAGAAGACUGCCUGGAGAAGCUCCGGCUUGACUCAGUAGCAUGGACUGCUGCAGGUGGAAUCUCAGGCGUCGUAAUGGUCUAGCAGCAGGCGACGUCUCAGGGAACUCUGCUGGGGUCGCUGCAAAAGCAUCCCUAUGCGAGGGGACCCGUGAGUUGGGCUUUGAAGUAUGAGUAGGAGUUUGCCAGUUGAGAUAAGAAAGAGGUCAUUCCAGGUAGAAGGAGUACGUGGUCAAGAUGUGCAGGUAUAAAAAAUCUGGGAAGGAUUUGGGGGUGGGGAAUAGUUUAAUGUGUAGGGAAGACGGGGAGAGUGGGGAAAUUAGGAGGCUGAAAAGAUGGACUAGCAUCUGACUAUAUCCUGGACGCUACAAGGAGGAGCCGUUGGAGAACUCAGAGCAAGGAAGAGACAUAGUGAGAUUUGUGGCUCAGGAAGAUCGCUGGGCAGCCUUGGGGUGGAGGGAGCCUGACUGGAGACAGAGGGGCCAGUGGAGGAGGUAGCUGCAGUAAUACCAGCACAGAGGAUGGAAGACAUGUGACAGGCCAUUACAUGGGGGGUGGGAGGGAAAGGAAAGGACUGACCAUUUAUCAACCAUGUUUUACAUGCAUUACCUUGUUAAUCUUCACACUAACCCUGUGAAAUCAACCCCAUUUUACAGAUGAGAAAACAGUCUCACAAAAGUGAACUAACUCUUGCAAGGCCCCACAAGCCCUACAGCCUGCAUGACUCCAGUGUGAGGUCUGUCUUCCCUACUUCCUGGCUGAGGUGGGGAAACUGGGCAGGAAUCCCAGAAGACUAGGGUUUCAGCUUUGGGGACCUGAGCAGAUAGUGAUAUUGGCAGACAUUAUUACUGCCUACCAAUAACCAUUAUAAGGACUAAGGUGUGCCUGAUCCAAGCCAUGGUGUUUUCAAUCACCUCAUAUGCAUGCUAAAGCUGGCCAAUGAAUAAGGAAGACCAAAGAAGAAUUGAAUAUGCAGUGGACUACCAGACGAAUGAACAAGUCUGUCUUGGAAGAAGUACAGCCAGAGUGUUCCUUAGAAACAAGGAUAGCGAGACAUCGUCUCAUAUACUUUGGACGUGUUAUCUGGAGGGACCAGUCCCUGGAGAAAGACAUCAUGCUUGGUAAAGUGGAGGGUCAGAAGGAAAGAGGAAGACCCUCGAUGAGAUGGACUGACACAGUGGCUGCAACAAUGGGCUCAAGCAUACCAGUGAUCGCGAGGAUGGUGCAGGACCGGGCAGUGUUUCCUUCCGUUGUACACAGGUUUGCUACGUGUUGGAACCAACUUGAAGACACCUAACAACAACAACCAAUAUCCAGUUCUCCUCUCCAGUGGUUGGAUGUGGCCAUGUGACUAGCUCUGCCCAAUGGGUUGUGAGUAAAACUGAUGUAUGUCACUUCUAGGGGCCUUGGUGACACAAUAGUUAAGCGUUCAGCCUCUAAUCAAAAGGUGGUGUUUCAAACCCACCAGUUGCUCCCAGGGAGAAGGAUGUGGCAGUCUGCUUCCGGAAAGAUUAUAGCCUUGGGAACCUUAUGGAGCAGUUCUGCUCUGUCCUACACGGUUGAUAUGAGUUGGCAUCGACUGGACAACAGUGGGGUGUCACUUCUGGGCUAAGGUUUUUAAUUAAUAGCUGGUGUGAGAUCCGACAGCUGUGCUCUUCUCCUGCUUUGCUGACCAGGGAAACCCAUGAUGAGAUGCAGACUCCAUCAGUUGGACACUUGAAGGAUUGUGAUGAGCAGAACCCACUUGCCUACCUGUGUUCCACGGAAUGUAAGUGAAAAGUGAACUCCUCCUGUUUGAAGCCACAGAUACCUAGAGUUGUUACUGUGGCACAACCUAGGCUAUACUACUUGACAUGGUGAUGCCAUUCCUGGAGUGAGGGCGUAAAGGAGAAGGAGCAGACCGAGAGCAAGGGUGGGGAGGCUGAGGUGGGGCAGAAUAUUCUAGUAAAAGGGAAAACAGGCUUUGUAGACUAGCAGACUUGGGUCCAGUGUUCCCUCAACUGGUCACUGCUGAGUGGCCAUUGGGCCACUGGAGUGACUUAAGACAAAGCUCAUAGAGUGUCAACUGUUGUGGCCAGCUCCUUGGAAGCCCCCAGCAAACUGUGGUCGCCAUUCUCAGAAGAGGGUCAAAGGAGACUUGGAGAUUUAAGCUUCGUGAGCUUAGACAUCUUCCUGUCAUGGUCAUCUGCAUUUCCUCAGUGCUGAGAACGGUGCCUGGAGACAGCACGCAUUUGUUAUCUAUUCACCUGAUAAAGAGGGUAACAUUCACUGCAUUUAUUCGCUUUAUGUGGCCCUUUGGUCUCUCAACCAGACUAGGGACUCUUUGAUAGGUGGGACCUAGACAUAUUAAUUCACCUCUGUUUUCUCAAUGCCCAGUAAAUAUCAGUUCUCAGGGAAUUUUCCUUGAUGGAGUGAGUCAUCCUGGGCUUUAGAAAUAGCCAGGUCUGUGGGCCAUUCUCCUUGGCUCAUUGAUGCCAAGCCCAGGCUUGGAUUUCUAGGUGAUCUUCCCCACCCCAGCCCCCAGGUCCUGACCUCUACCCAGCUAGCAGGUCUCUGCCUGACAUCUGUGGUCCUUUCAGGGACCCCUCAGGCUCUGAGUCCAGGUGGCUCACAAGGUCAUCACACAGCAGCUGUGGCGUCCACCUGUCCUGACCGUGUCUGGCAGCAUCCCGGAUGGCCCCACACCUCCCCGUACUCAGACACAGCCUGCAGAUGGCCUGGCGCAGACCUUGGCAGGAGUGGCUGGCAGGCGGGUCCUCUCCUUCCCAGGUAAACCUAUAUGUAGCAAGUCUGUUUAUCAGGCAACGCCUUGUUGUAGCCAGAGGUGGUGGCUUAGCAGUGGCAGCAACGCCCGCAUUGCAUCACAGGCUGCCAGUUACUGAGAUGUGCCCUUGGCCUUGGUGGGCAGAUAAGCACCUGCAUGGGAGAGGGAGCCCUUGAUCAGGGCUGAUAAGCUUAGGAAGGAAAAAAAAAAACCAAAACAAAACACACACACCAGAAGCCGAGCGACUCGCUGUCGGAGGCUUUUCAUGUACACAUGGGCGUGUUGCUUGUCUUCGCCAACGCACGGGUGAUGCGAAAAGUGUGAUUUAAUUUAAUUUCGUGGUCACGCAUUCAGGGAACCAGAGCAUGUCGGAGCUGGAAGGGACUUUGGAGAGUGUCUCGUUGAACACUUAAUCCUCCAGACGAGGACACCGAGGGCCACAGAGCUGUAAAGACUUGUUUAGGAUCAUCUAGCAGCGAAGUUUUGGCAGAGCUGGAACUAUACUCUGGGUCUCUAGACCCCCAGGCCUCUGAUCUUCCCACCACACUGGGUGGCUUCACAGGCCGCUGCUUGAUACUGCAGAUUGCAAGUUGGCACCUCAACAUUCCUCUUUAAUGUCAGAAAUCUGGGUGUUCUGCUUCAAGAGUCAGACACAGCCACCCUCCCCCACUCCCACCAUGGAUGGGGUCGACCAGUUAGCUCAAGGCAACAAGCCUGGUGAGUGAUGCUUCAGACCCCAGCUAUCCCAAACCCUGCCAUUUUACAUCUUAAAAAAGUGAGGUCCAGGUCACCAGAAAGGCUACUUCCCUUAGGCGGUACAACUAGAGAAAGUGAGAGAACUGGGCCUAAAAUUCCCAAUUUCCUGCCUUCAGUCUUGUCCACUAAUUAAAAAAAAAAAAAAAAAAUC